AUAAUUAUAGUAGUGUCCAGCUCACCAACAGACACACACACACACACACACACACACACACACACACGUUCA